rnacentral:rRNA from 1 species
UACGAAGGGUGCAAGCGUUACUCGGAAUUACUGGGCGUAAAGCGUGCGUAGGUGGUGCGUUAAGUCUGAUGUGAAAUCCCCGGGCUUAACCUGGGAAUGGCAUUUGGGACUGCAAGGCUUGAGUGCGGCAGAGGAGACUAGAAUUCCUGGUGUAGCAGUGAGAUGCGUAGAUAUCAGGAGGAAUACCGAUGGCGAAGGCAGGUCUCUGGGCUGACACUGACGCUCAUGCACGAAAGCGUGGGGAGCAAACAGG